AAGCUUUGGCUUCAGUAAACAAGACAAGUUCUGGCCUUCUUGUUCUGGAGAGUACUAGUCUACCAAAACACUUUUUUCAGGGUGAUGAUCGACCUACGAGAGCAGGUGUAUUUAAAACUACGUCCUGACAUUUUCUUGUGAGUGGAACGCUUGUGGCCAUCCUGAAUUCCAUUGGUAAACGGCUUGCAGCCCCGAGA